GGCGAACGCUGCCGGCGUGCCUAACACAUGCACGUCGAGCGAGUGAAUCUCCUUCGGGAGUGAAGCUAGCGGCGGACGGGUGAGUAACACGUGGGCAACCUGCCUCAUAGAGGGGAAUAGCCUUUCGAAAGGAAGAUUAAUACCGCAUAAGAUUGCAGCUUCGCAUGAAGUAACAAUUAGAGGAGCAAUCCGCUAAGAGAUGGGCCCGCGGCGCAUUAGCGAGUUGGUGAGGUAACGGCUCACCCAGGCGACGAUGCGUAGCCGACAUGAGAGGGUGAUCGGCCACAUUGGGACUUGGACACGGCCCAGACACCUACGGGAGGCAGCAGUGGGGAAUAUUGCACAAUGGGGGAAACCCUGAUGCAGCAACGCCGCGUGAGUGAUGACGGCCUUCGGGUUGUAAAGCUCUGUCUUCAGGGACGAUAAUGACGGUACCUGAGGAGGAAGCCACGGCUAACUACGUGCCAGCAGCCGCAGUAAAAC
rnacentral:rRNA from 1 species